rnacentral:rRNA from 2 species
GACGAACGCUGGCGGCGUGCCUAACACAUGCAAGUCGAGCGGGAGACUUCGGUCUCCAGCGGCGGACGGGUGAGUAACACGUGGGUAACCUGCCUUGUAGAGGGGGAUAGCCUUCCGAAAGGAAGAUUAAUACCGCAUAAUAUUGAGAUAUCGCAUGAUAUUUUAAUCAAAGGAGCAAUCCGCUACAAGAUGGACCCGCGGCGCAUUAGCUAGUUGGUGAGGUAACGGCUCACCAAGGCGACGAUGCGUAGCCGGCCUGAGAGGGUGAACGGCCACAUUGGAACUGAGACACGGUCCAGACUCCUACGGGAGGCAGCAGUGGGGAAUAUUGCACAAUGGGCGAAAGCCUGAUGCAGCAACGCCGCGUGAGUGAUGAAGGCCUUCGGGUUGUAAAGCUCUGUCUUCUGGGACGAUAAUGACGGUACCAGAGGAGGAAGCCACGGCUAACUACGUGCCAGCAGCCGCGGUAAUACGUAGGUGGCAAGCGUUGUCCGGAUUUACUGGGCGUAAAGGAUGCGUAGGCGGAUGCUUAAGUCAGAUGUGAAAAUCCCGGGCUUAACUUGGGAACUGCAUUUGAAACUGGGUAUCUAGAGUGCGGGAGAGGAGAGUGGAAUUCCUAGUGUAGCGGUGAAAUGCGUAGAGAUUAGGAAGAACACCAGUGGCGAAGGCGACUCUCUGGACCGUAACUGACGCUGAGGCAUGAAAGCGUGGGGAGCAAACAGGAUUAGAUACCCUGGUAGUCCACGCCGUAAACUAUGGGUACUAGGUGUGGGAGUUGUCAUGACUUCCGUGCCGCAGUUAACACAAUAA